rnacentral:rRNA from 1 species
CUAAGAAUCUUCCGCAAUGGGCGCAAGCCUGACGGAGCGACGCCGCGUGGACGACGAAGGCCGAGAGGUUGUAAAGUCCUUUUCUUGGAGAAGAAUAAAGGUGGGAGUGGAAUGCCCAUCAGAUGACGUUAUCCAAGGAAUAAGCCCCGGCCAAUUACGUGCCAGCAGCCGCGGUAACACGUAUGGGGCGAGCGUUGUUCGGAAUUAUUGGGCGUAAAGGGCGCGCAGGCGGUUUUGUAAGCCUGGUGUUAAAGGCUCUGGCUUAACCAGAGGUGAGCGCUGGGAACUGCGAGACUCGAGUUCGGGAGGGGGAGCUGGAAUUCCAGGUGUAGGGGUGAAAUCUGUAGAUAUCUGGAAGAACACCGGUGGCGAAGGCGAGCUCCUGGCCAUGGACUGACGCUGAGGCGCGAAAGCGUGGGGAGCGAACA